rnacentral:misc_RNA from 1 species
AACCAUUCUCACCUGCGGCUAGACCUGCGGAAGGAUCAUUAUCGAAUAAAACUUGGUUUGGGGUUGUUGCUGGCUCCUUGGAGCAAUGUGCACGCCUUACACCAUUUUUUUCAACACCACCUGUGCACUUUGUGUAGACUCGGGAUAAUACUAAUAUCGUAGAUCUCUACGGAUUGAGAACUGCUGUGCACUUGAAGCUGGCUUUUCUUGCAUAUUCCAGUCUAUGUCUUUUUACAAACU